UAUGAAAAGGUGGAGAGAAUUGCCAUGAGACUCACCUGCGAGGGACAGCCGUUGGGACCGGAGCACCAUAUUUGAAGGCGGAAAAACGGUUCAUUCCGCGUAACUCAUCAUGCUGCUCAUUUCACCAGCGGUUUUGAAGAAGAAGUCAUGUCAGCAUUAAACGGUCAGCAGCCCGGGAACCUCGUGCGAGAGCACUGGAGAGGAACAACACCUUCUUAUUUUGAAACUGGAGCCCACCACGACACUGCAGAAUUCCAGGAUAACGCCCUACCCUAGGUGUUUCCGAACCUGUUGAUGAUGCAGUCCGCCCACCGUUCCCCUGUUGCCCAUGCUCCUGGACUCCGUUCACUCGACUUGUCUUGAGGUCUUUGUUCGAGUUCCUUCAUGAAGCCAACCUGCCUGUUUUGGAAGUUCCUUACUCCAUGGAAAUGGAUCAUCUUUCAUUGCAGGUAUCACAAGUGCAUCUCCAGUGCUUGCUUUAGGAGCUGCUGCCCUGAAAUUUCUGUCGCUGUUCAUCCACAAAAGAAAACUGCUCCCUGGGACAACUUCCUUUAUUAAUGCUAGUUCUUAUUUCUUUUGUCUUGUCAUCCCUCCAAAUUUCAAAGCUUCCAUAGUGAGAAAAGAGAGAGAUCGAAUUUGCCAUUCAUUGUACACAUUUACACCACAGUAUUACUCUCCUCAGAGCUUUUUUUUUUGGAAUUGAGGAAUAUAGUUUCCUUGUGGCUUGAGUAAGGCAGUAAUGGCCAAGUGUACCUUUGUAUACUGUGAUGACUCUGGUUUGGCUUGUUUGCAUAAGUGAUUAACUGAUUGCUCAGUAUUCUGCAAUAUUUGAUAAAAGAUAUGUGAUUGGAAUGAUAAGCCGGCACCAAAAAUUAAUGUCCUUGGAAGUGCACUCCUAGUUCAACUUCUACUUUUCUUUUAUUUGAUUGAAUCCCCAAAUCUGUAACUGUUGUGUACCAAUGGAUCUCCUGGAAGUAUUGGAACUACAUCACGUUGAAGAUCUAACCAAUUUGAAGGUAUGAAAUUUCUGCCACCUACUUUGUCUCACUUCUUUUUCAAUGCGUUUUGAACUGAUGCUAAUUAAUUCAAUUGAAAUGAUUUGAUUUUACCGUACUCAUUCACUUCAUGGAAUUUAAACAACUAAAUCUCCAUUCAUGGCUUGGUAUACAACUAACUGCAAAUCAAAGUUUGUGUCCUGCUCUAUUUUCUGGAAAUUAAAAAAUCAUGCU